rnacentral:lncRNA from 1 species
UUAACACAACUACCUUUCUCUUCACACUUUAUUGUCUGGGAAAUAAGUGAUGGAGUAAUGGUGAUACGAAAGUCAAAUACACUAGACUAUAUUGACUUAGCAUCCUUACCAGAUUGCCUAACGGGGGAAUUUUACCAGAACUAUGUUACCAGAUUAGUUUAGAUGGGUCCAUGAAGCAUGUCAAAGUAACCUUUCAACUUAUCUUUGGAAAUAGUUUUCAUUAGAUCAAAACUUUGGUCUUUCAACUCUUCGAAAUCAACAAACUUUCCAUUGAUAACGAACAAAAUAUUUUCAUCUCCGUUGAAAGUUUUUGUAGACAUUUUUUGAAUAUAAAGAAAAGACUUUAAACUAGAUUUAAAGAGACAAAGAGAUGUAAAUUCAAUGAAACUUGAAUGGUGUAUAAAUAAAUUGGAAAAGAGGAGAUGAAACAAUUAGAAAAGCUAAAACACCUCAUUUAAAAUCCAAAAGAUACGUUACAUUUUGAGUAAGGAUGGUCAUUAAUAUUUUAGUGAUAUGAUUCUAAUGCGCGAUGAUCAUUACUAUUUUUUUUAAAUAUAACAACAAUAUAUUACCUCAGUUUUUCCAUAUAACUGAGGGAAAAAAAUCAGAAACCAACAAUCCAGGAACCUUUCUUUUUUAUUAUUUUUUUUAUUUGUAAAUAUUCUUUGUAAUCAAUGAAAUGCAAAAUAAAAAAAAAAUCAAAGGUUAUUUAUCUCGGUUUUCAAUUUAAACGAGGGUUAAAUUUUUUUACCUAAAUUAAACAUAAAAAACCUUUAAUGGUUUUGUUAAUCAAAUAUAUGUCGUUCAUUUCAAGAGAUAUCAACCAUCAAGACAUUAUCAUUAGUGAUCCGCGUGAAACAUAAAAAACUUCCUUUAUAAAAGCAUAUUUCUGAAUAUGAAUAACACUUGAAACAUAUCUACAUCCACCUCUUUCAGUUUGCAAGAUCAUUUACUAUAAAAGUAUGCUAAGAUGGAUGCAAGACCAGAAAAUUAUUUGGGUUUAAGGUUAGUGUUCUUAACUAUUUAUUUGAGCAAAAAUCAUUUAUUUAUCUAACCUUUUUUUAUCAACCUUUUUUUUUGUUUUAUAUCAAAAACAAAACCAUUCGAGGUAAAUCCAUUGAGCAUAUAGUCCCACUCAUCAUUUGAUCUUGUCCAAAUAUCAAGGAUUCGAAGAUCUAACAUAUGAUCUUCAUGGAUUAAUUAAUUUUUAUUUUAAUAUUCUAUGUAAACUAUGUAAUAUUCUGGGUAAGCAUUGUAGUUUAUAAAAAAAUUAUUUUAUUAAUAAUGUAAUAAGUUUUAUUAAAAAAAACAAUAUAUUUUAACCCUCGGUUUGUGAAUAAACCGAGACGCAUAAGACAAUGUUUUUGUAAUUAAUAAAAAUGAAGAUGUUGGGGUUCGAACUCGUCAUCAUAUAACUUUACCCCUCGGUUUUUCUUUAACUGAGGUGUUAAGUGACAUCUUUUCAUGUCACCCUUGUUACGUCCCCUCGGUAGCCGAGGUUACAUAUCUUUUAUGUGCGAUGUUAGAAGCGUUAUUUGUAGUGUUGUAUGUGAUAGAUUAAGUCUGCCAAACAAUCUUUCUACUAAUUAUAGCUAUGAUAAAUUUAUAAUAUUAGAUUUUUAUAUCAAUUAAUAAUGUUGAAUUUAAACAUCUCGUAUAAAUUUAAUUCGGUUAAUUGACACAAUGAUUGUUUAGCAUCUUCAUAUCUCAUCUUCAUUAUAUUUUCUGAUUAUAGUGUAAAUUAUGAAAUCAAUUCAAAUGCGUCUUGUGUAAUUUCCACUACCAAGUUUUUGUAAAACUCUGUUUUUGAAAUUGAUUUUUCGGGAAAGGUCUAUUCAACCACCCUUUCUAAACCAUUCUACACCCACAUUCUAAACAAAAAUUGGCAUCAAGAACUGGUCUUUUGAUCAUGUCUCGCGACUUCAAAAGUUGAGAAUAUGGGUAAGGGAAAUUUGAAAUGUGAAUACAAUAGAGGUCUCAUAUUCAAGAGUGAAAAUUAUAUGUAUCAUAAAAAUAACAUGUUUGUUCACUUAAUGUCAGUUGAUAAAAUGCUUUGGUUGUUAUCGAAGACAAUCCUUUUGUCUCAAAAAGAAUCAUCAAUGGCAUUGAAACUAUAAAACCCUCAAAGGAUUGGGAUGAUUAAAAAACUAAGAAAGCUUCUUGUGGUUUGAAAGCGAAUAAUCUACUAAUUUCCGCUUUGAGCGCUAACGUAUUUUACUAGAUUUUGCAUUGUAAGACAACUCAAAUGAUGUGGAACACACUUCAAAUACUCAAUGAGGGUACUGAAUAUGUGAAGCAAUCUAAGAAUGACAUGUUAACAUUUGAAUAUGAGCUUUUUCAUAUAGAACCUAGUGAAACCGUGGAAUCUAGUGCAUUUUAUUCAUAUAAUCAACAAGCUAGAAAAUUUAGGAAAACUUUAUCUAACCAGGAUUAUGCUAACAAAGUGUUAAGAUUUAUGUGUAGAAUAGAAACCAAAAGUAACAACCAUAAAAGAGUCAUAUGACUUGAAGACUUUGGAUGUAUCAACACUGUUUGGAAAAAUCGCCAACCAUGAGCAUGAGUUAAAUAGACUCGAACGAAGUGAAGUUAACAUGAAAAAUAAAGAAAGAGUUAGAGAAGAUAAGAGAAACGUCUCCUUUAAGGCCUCCACUUUCAAGACCAUAGUAGAGGAAGAUGAUGACACUGCUAAUGAAUAUUCUUCUAAAUAAGAAAAAAUGGUUUGUUCGUGAAACGUUAUAACAAGUACAUUAAAAUAAAAUGUCUCAAGCAUCCAACAAAAACUUGAUAAUCUUCAAGAAGUCUCAUCAACCCAAGAAAAAGAAAGACAUCCAAGUGUUAUAAAAUUAAUUAUAUAAGCCUAAAUAAGCAUAAGAAUAAGCAAGAGUUUAACAGGGCAAAAGUAAAAAUUCCAAAGGCCGUAGAGCCUACAUAGCUUGGGAAUAAGAAGACGAAGAAUAUUUUUCCUCUAACUCAAGUUUAGAUGAUGAUGAAUUGACCCAUUUAUGCUUAUUGGCGUAUCACAAAGAAAAACCUUGGAGUUAUGUGAUCCAAACUCACAUUUUAAACCUUCAUAUAAUCAACUGUCUAAAGCAUUUCGAGAAAAUAUCUCUUCAAAAGAAAAUGAUUUCAAAAGUUGAGAGAGAAGUUUUACAUCUUAAUAGUGUCUUAUAGUUCUUGAAAGAAUAUGGUUUAUAGAUAAUGGUUUUUAAAGAUAUAUGACGGUAAACACGUUAAUGUUCAUUAAUUUUGUCUAUAAAUAGUGCAGCUGUAGCGGUAAAUUCAUGAUCAUCAAACUAUGGAUAAGCUUAACGUCAAUAAAACCAGAGUCUCCAGUGCGCUUUUAUUGUUUCUAAAGUAAAAGGGAAACGUACGAACAAAACCCAAAGAUAAGAAGUUUUCAAAUCAAAACUAAUAAAAUGCCAGAGAUUACAGGUAAGGGGGUUGGUUACACAGAGGGAAGGUGUUAGCACCCAAAGUGUCUUAGGUACUCCUAGAUUUCAAAUCAAAACUAAUAAAAUGCCAGAGAUUACAGGUAAGGGGGUUGGUUACACAGAGGGAAGGUGUUAGCACCCAAAGUGUCUUAGGUACUCCUAGGGAGCCCUUUUUAUGUGUGUAUGUGUUUUUUGGUAUAAAUGAUGUUUGAGAAGAAAUAGAGUGUGGGGAUGAGAAAAGAAUUCAAUGAUUAUAUUUUUGUGUUUGACAAAACCUUCGGACUUGUGUCUACGUACCAACAUGAAAAUGAGGGAUCAAAACCUCGUAGUUCAUGGUAACAAUUUCAAAAUGAGUGGGUUUCUUUUAAUAAAAGAUUACUCCCUCCAUCUCAUAAAAAGUGACUCAUUUACACUUUUUCUCUAUCUCAAAAUAAUUGUCCUUUUACAAUAUCAAUGCAACAUUUCUUAUUAUUUUUACACUAUCAUACCCCUAUUUAUUAACUUUCACUUUAUCCAACCACUCUUUUAAGUACAAUUAAUAGGGGUAUUCUAGUAAAUGAUAUUAAUUUAUCAUCAAAACCAACGCAUCUAAUCAUUUUCUUAAGAACCGUGAAUUGUUCAAACAGGACAUUUUUUAUGAGACGGAGGGAGUAAUAAGAAAGGCACAAAGGCCUAAAAGUUUGAAUGAAGUUGUUAGUUCUUUUUGUCUUUUGAAAUUUUAAGUCAAUAUAAUUAAGUUUAUUUACAAAGUUGAUUUAAGAAAAGGUUUAAAAAUCCAUUCGCAUAAGGCCAAAGUUUCUAUUUUUGAGAUAAGGUCUAAGUUUGAAAUGACAAGAAAAGAAAGUUUUUGAAAAAAGGGUGAGAGAUUUUAAAAUUUAAGAAGUGGGAGAAGAUGAAGAUGCUACCCUAAGUAUAAAAAUUAAAAGUUAAGAGUUGAAAAGAUCUGACCGAUGAGAUGCAAUCCAACAGACAAGAAUGCCAUAUAGAAACCCCAUUUUCCCUUUGUACUUUGAAUCAAGCAAUAAUCAAGAAGGAAGUUAGCAAUAUCAGACAUCAUGAAGAUCAAGACAUCAAAUAAAGAUAGCCACAUCCAAGCAAGUAAAUCACAUAGAUAGCAAUCUUCUUUGUCUUAUCAUGUAUCAAAUGAAAUACUCCUUGAUUAACUCAGAAUAAAGCAUUAGACACAAGAUCAAAAUAACAAUUUGCAUCAAGACAACUUAGCAGAUGAAUUCAAAUAAAUCCCAAGACUUGCAUCAGAUGAAGGCUCAGUUCAUAAUAACUUGAUUUCAGAAUGUUGGCAUUGGCCAAGUCCUUUUUGCACAGGGAAUGUUGCCUAAUCCUAAGUCCAAAAGUUCAGAUCAAGAUAAACAGUCCACCAAAUAUUUUUUAGGGUUUUUGUUAUUUAUUAAGUAUUUUAAGGUCCUAAGACCACAAGCACAAUCAAAAUACACAAACAAAUGUAUACAAUCACAAGAUAUGGCUCAAAUGAGCAAAGUGAAAAUGGCAUAAAUAUAAACAAGUUUAAUGAAAUGUAAAUGGCAAUGAAUGAUAAAUGACUAGAAACUAAAUUGUAUAAAGUAAAUGACUUGAAAAGUAAAGCAAUAUUAAUAAGAGUUAGUCAAAUGUUAGUCAAAGUUAAUUGAAUGUUAGUAGUGUUUUGCUUUUUAAUUGAUUAAGUCAUUUUUUGGAGAACACUCAACCAUCUAUUCACAAGCAUGGAUCUUUAAACCAAGACAUCUUCCCUAGGAAGAAAAAAAUGUCAAGUUUCCACACAAUAUCAAGAAAGAUGGGAGACUUAUAAACUCACUUACUAGAAUGCUAUGCCUUUAGGGUCAAGUUUAGCUCUAUGUUAAGCAACUGUAAUUGGACUUAUGUAGAAGUCAAAACUAUCUGAGGUCGGGUAAUAAAAACAUAGGUGUUAAUGCAUGUGAUAUAUUUGGUAUCAUAAACCAAACUCCUAAAAUAUACCACACACUAAAAGAAAAGAUCAAGGGGGAUGGACCUAUCACAUCCAUACUUGUAUUGGUUCAUCUGACACAAGGUCAUUGAUGAACCAAUUAGCCUUAGGAUUUUUGAAAUUUCAUUGGUCAAUGAAAGGAAUGGGAAAGAAUAGAGAUGAAGAUGAGGGGGAAGGGGAAUGAGAGAAACACAAAUUGGUCAUGGGAGGAGUUUUGUCAAAUUAAAAUUAUUCAUUCAUUUUGGGAGAUGAAAUGUACAUUUCAUCAAUCCUCUAAAUCCAAUAAUUUUAAUCCAACAAAAGUCAAAUCAACCUUGACCAAGGCCCAAACAAAUAGUCAAACACCACAAAUCCAUAAAAAUGACUCAACAUAAUUUUUACUCAAUUAAUCAAUUAAAAAUCAAAUUAAAAAUGCAUUAAAAUUCAAUUUAGUUUGGUCAAAACCUAAAACCUCUUCAAAACACCAAAUAAAUACCCAAGAGAUUUAUCCUAUGUCAAACAAGGUGAAAGGACCUUAGACAAAAAACUUCAUUAUUUUUGAAAAGUCAGAAGUAUUCUUUAACAAUUAAAAAUAUGCACAAAAACUUUCAUUCAAGAAAUAUACCGAAAUUAAUCCAAAAAGUAAUUUUAAUUCAGAAAAUGAAAGAGAAAAAUAUUUAAAGAUUUUUUGUGAAAGUCCCAUAUUUUUUGGAUUAAAAAUAAAAUUAUUAUGAAUUAAACAAAAUAAAGCAAUUAAAUGAAAAAUCAGAAAAUACAAAAAAACAAGGCCCAUCAGAUCUCCCUCAUUAAUUGAGGUGGCAGAUCUGAUGACCAAGCGCGUAUCAUCCACCAUAGUCCAUAGUCAACGCGCAUGUGCAAAUGGUAAUUCAAACCAAAGGCUGGGAUCAUAUCCUUGGACCAAGAUCAGAUGGAUGAGAUGAAGUCAACUCACUACCGGUGCCCUAGCUCCGGUCAUCUUCUCUGGUGAUGACCAUCGGUCUGGUCCAACCUCAACUCGAUGAAAAAUGAAAAACAAUGACACUAUUUUGAAGAGAAAAUGCUCGGGAGCUCGAAUCUGGCCUCAAUUUUCUCCAAUUCCAAGUAUAUAAAAAGAUACAAGGAUUUGAAUUUUGAGGACCAUGAACUGAGUUGCUUCAAUUUGACCUCAAAGUAACUCAAUCUUCUUGCCUACAUUGGUAGGACUUCAGGCAACCAAAAAUCACAAAGAAUAGUGGAGAAUUGAGGGACAAUCGAAGAGAUGAAAAAUUCACCUUGCAUGCUUGCAUGGGCGUGUGAUAGGCCCAUCAAGUGAUGUUAUUAAGUCCAAAAUUUCUUGUGAAUCAUGCUUAAAUCAUGUCAUUUAGCCAUGCAUUUGAGUUUGAAAUGUGAAGGUGAAAAUCAUCCAAUUGGUCCCUUGAAAAGAACCCAUGCGCAAGUCCUUCAUUCUUUGGCCAAAUGAGGUGAUUUUGGACUUUUAGGAAAGGUGAGAUCAAGGGGAAUGAAUUUUAUGUUGAACACUUUUCCGUUUCAAGCUUGGGUCAUGAUUAAUUUUGAGGUGGAAGUUUGGAAAAUCAAACAUAUUUGAAAAUUUUCUACGUACCAAGCCAAAUGUUCACUUCUUCCACCUUGAAUAACUUUGGCUAUGGACUUCAAAUGGAAAAAAGUUCCUUCAUCAAAGUUGUAUCUAUUUUAAACCUCUUCAAUUGGGUCACAAAUUUGACAUCAUUUAGAUUUGGCAUGAAGGAGGUAUGCAUUUUAGAAGUUGAGGAAAAUCACUUGUUCAAUGGUAAUGGCCCAAAAUGACCUAUAAUGUUUCCUCUUGGCACAUGCAUUUGCAUGUUGAAUUUGAACUUCUUAUAAACAUAAAAGUUGAAAAUGAAAUCUUGAAUUUAAUCAUGUAACUAGAAUUACUUUAAUCUCAUAAGAAUUGAGCAAGUUAUGGUCCUUGGAAGUUGACCUCCUAACUAGGGUUCAAACAAAAUGACCUAUAAUCUUUCACCAUAAAAAAUGACAUUCCAAGCAAAAAUAGCUCUUGAAUUCAACAUGAAAGUUAUUUGGAAUGUAAUAAGGAGUAACAUGGCUCUUGUAAUCAUUUUCAUAUGACAAAACUUGUAGGAGAUAGGGUCUAAGGAACCCCAGUUUUGACCAGUUGAUUUUCUCUGGUCAACCACCAUGACCAUCUUGCAAACUUGAAAUCCUCUUGAUGUUUGGUACUCAUGGGGGAUCAUAUAUGUGUAAGAUGAUGUAAUAUGAAGUAUCCCUUGAUAUAUUUGAUCAAAUGAUGAAGAAACUUAUUGAGGAAGUCACACAAGAUACCUAGAUGAAUUAGGGCUUCCAAGGCAAACAAGCUUCAAACUCUUGAUGAUUUCUGGAUCAAAAUGAUAUGUGAAGACCACGUGGAUCCAUAUAUGAUGUAUAGAGCCAAUGUAAACCAUGUCUUGAUUGAUCUCCUUGCAUAUGAGCUUGAUGGAGCAUGGGUGAUUACACACACUACCUACAAAAGCAACAAACUAUACAUUACCAUAUUUUUGGUAUUUUGGUUAGUAAAUAAUGAAAAACAAAGUAUGAUACAAUCAAAAUGUUCUUAGUGAUCUCUCCCAAUGCAAACCCAAUGAAUGAGGGGUAAUGAGGAUGCCAAGGUGUGAUCCUAAAGCCAAUGCAUAUGUUGAUAUAGAAAGAGGGAUCUUAGGGUCAAAUUGGGGGUCUUACAGCUGCCCAUAUUUAAGAAAAUUCUAACUGAGGAUGUGAAGGUUAAAAUCUUCGUAUCAACUCAGUAGAAUGGACUUAAAUCACAACAUAUAAAAAAAAAUUGGUCCCUAAGAGACCUCAUGAUGCAUCUGACAUGAAUGUUAAAAUAAUCUUUGUGGGGAGCAUAUUGUCACAAAAGAAAAGAAUCCGGAAAAACUGAAAAUUCACAGGAGCAUAAUGCAUUCCAUAAGGAAAACUCACUAGGGAGACAGAGACUCUGGGGGAUAAGUGGUUAUGCGUAUGCCAAGAUACAACUUAAAGACUGCUGGAGACACGAGAGGAAUUCCAUGAAAAUAAAUCGAUGGAAAGACUCGGUUGGGGAUAAGGGAAAAUCUGCAGGAGAAACGAGUAAAUCAGAACAAAAUUGAAAUACUCGAACCAAAUAGGGGAUUGACGACUUAACUAAGGAAAUACGUACUUAAACUCAACUGGGAAGAAUGAACUUCAACACAUGAGUACUAGAAGUAUAUUAUAUAUUACCGGUUACUGGUUAGGAAGAUAAUAUACUCUGAUAGAGGGACAUCUGUUACCGGUUAGGGUAAACAUAUCAAGGAUGACUCGUUGAGGAAAAAGAGGUGUAUUCGUUACCCGUUAUUGGGUAAGAAAUGGCCUGCUGGGAAAAAUAAUCAAAUAGUAUUUACAACUACCGGUUACUGGGCAGAAGACCAAAGAGAGAAUAUCUGUCACCGGUUAAAGUGAACAUAUCAAGGAUAGACUCAGAGGAAGAAUAUCCUCCAUCGGUUAGGAUGAGCAUAUCAAGGAUAGACUGCCGGGGAAAAAUAGGAAUUAUAUCUAUCAGUUACUGGAUAGAAUACCAAAAAGAGAAUAUCCGUCACUGAUUAAAGUGAACAUAUCAAGGAUAGACUCAGCGGGGAAAAACAGGUUUACAACUACCUGUUACUAGGAAGAAGACCGCAAAGAGGAGGAAAUCUGUCAUCGGUUAAGAUGAACAUAUUAAGGAUUAACCCUCUAGGGAAUGGAAUAUGGAUUACAACUACCUUUUUACUGGGUAGAAAACCACAAAGGGAGAAUACCCGUCAUCGGUUAGGAUGAACAUAUCAAGGAUAGACUGCCUGGGGAAACGUGAAAACGAAUCCGCUGGGGAAAAUAAAGGAAGUGAAUUACAUUUACCAGGUAUUGGGAAAAAGUAAAGUACUCAAAAAUUGAGAAGAAUAUUACCAAAAAGUAUCUAUCUAGGUAAGAGCUAGAAAGAAACGGUCAAACAAGGACUUAACCCAAAUGAGGAUAUAACUCAAGGGGAGUGGUUCCAUCCAGAUAAUUAACUAGGGAGGAAACUGAAACAAUAAUCAUCCACGAGGAAAUAACUCAGUGGGGAAAAGAGAAAGGUUAAAUUCUUUCUGCUUAAUGGGCUGACACUCUACCAUUGAAGAAGGACAGACGCACCAAACCUGCAUGGGGAAAUAAUGUCACCAUAGCAGGGAAUCAUAAUAAUAAAAUCAAAUGUAAUAACAAAUGCAUAAUGAAAUAUGUGAUGUUGCAUUUUAUGCAUGAAUAUGUAUACGUGUUUGAUAAUUAUGCUGACAAAACUUAUCACAAAGGAUACAAAUAUCACCGAUUUGAAUCACCAUUGCAACACUCAGCUAAUCUCAACAAGAUGGGAACACCAACUAGAGAAAAAAUGUUAGGGAAUGAACACCAAUAAUCUGGCUCUGAAUAAAUCAACCCUAGCUGGGGAAAGGAGAAAAAAAUCUGUUGAGGAUCCAAGUUGUCAACUAUGCGGGGAAUUUUAGGUCAACACCAUAUCACAUGGGAGACAACCUUGCAGAGGACCAAAUAAAACAUCGCCGGAAAUCAGAGAUCUUCGAUAUCUGAAGAUGGACUCAGCCGGGGAGUACCGAAGAUAAAACUCUGCACGGGGUCUGAGCCAAUUUGCUGAGGAUGUGAGCCUUCAACUCAACUGGGAAAAUUUGCAAAAGGGAUUGAUCACCAGUUCAACUCUACUGGGGAUAAACGAUGAAUUGUUUGGGAAUUAUCGCCCAACCAACUGCUUGAGGGAGACCAACAAGGCUCCACAUUUCAAGACUUACCUGUUCUCAAACUGCUGUUGAUAUUCCUUACUGAAAUCGAUUGCUUUUAAAAUGAUUUCUUUCAUAUUCUUAAGAAAAAUGAUUUUAAUUUAUUAAUUCUUUUCAAAAUUAUCAUGAUAAAAUUCAAUUUUAUUUAGCUGAAAUAAAUAAGAGUAGAAACAAUUGGAUAAAAAGCUCAACUUUAUUUAAUGGAAUGGUAGCCUGUAAAUGACAAGACUCCAUGGAUCUUUACAAAGUUGAAAAUGAUAAUUUACAUGGAAAAGGGCUACAUUAAAUACAAUGAUCACUACUCUUCCUACCAGACUUCAAUAUCCGUUGUGCUCUUGGCUUUGGUCGAGAAUGACGAAUCAAAAAUGAAUGACUUGGUCAAAAAAUGUCUCCAAUGAUCAGGACCAACCGAAUGCAGUUACUUGCCAUUAUCCCUAAUUUUUGCCUAGAUUUCCCCAAGGUGGGGUACUCAAUCUAGCGAGAUAAAUUUCUGUUUUAUGCCUCUAAUUUUUGCCUGGAUUGCCCUUUCGGGUUUUCAAUCCACUAAGACGCUCAUUUUUUCCUAAACCGUCCUUUCGUGUUUUUAACUUAGCGAGCUGUUCUUUUUCUUUUUUAGGCGAAGUAUUUCUUGACUGCAUCAACAUUCACAGGACAAGUGAACUUUUCGCCAUCCAUAGUUGUAAGAAUCAAAGCACCACCUGAAAAGGCUCUCUUCACAAUAUACGGGUCUUCAUAAUUAGGAGUCCAUUUGCCCCUAGCAUCUGGUUUGAAAGAUAGAAUCUUCUUGAGCACAAGGUCACCUUCUCUAAACACACGAGGUCUGACCUUCUUAUCAAUUGUCUUCUUUAUUCUUUGCUGAUAUAACUGACCAUGACACAUGGCAAUCAAUCUCUUCUCUUCAAUUAAGUUCCGUUGAUCAUAUCUGGUCUGGCACCAUUCGGCUUCGGUCAACUUGGCUUCCAUCAAGACACACAAUGAUGGGAUCUCAACCUCCACGGGAAGCAUAACUUCCAUACCAUAAACAAGAGAGAAAGGGGUUGCCCCUGAUGAAGUGCGGAAGGAUGUACGGUACCCAUGCAAAGAAAAUGGGAGCAUCUCAUGCCAAUCCUUAUAUGUCACGACCAUCUUCUGAAUGAUCUUCUUGAUGUUCUUAUUCGCAGCUUCAACAACCCCAUUCAUCUUGGGUCUGUAGGGAGAAGAAUUAUGAUGUGAAAUCUUGAAGUCUUUACAAAGAGCUUCCACCAUAUUAUUGUUCAAGUUACAUCCAUUAUCAGUAAUGAUCUUACUUGGAACAUCAUAACGACAUAUAAUCUUAUUCUUGAUAAACCUUACAACAACUUGCUUGGCUACAUAUGCAUACGAUGCCGCUUUAACCCACUUUGUGAAGUAAUCAAUAGCCACCAAAAGGAUUAUGUGAUUUGAACUCCAAAAAGGGAUGAAAUAUGAACCCAAGAGUAAAACUGGUAUGAACCAACAAGUGAGGGGCCUACGACAUGGUAUCAUUGUAUUGGAAUAACCGAAUAGAAAGGAAUUAAGUGUUUGGUUUUACAAUGCAAACAACUCUUAGUUCGCAAGGAGAUACAAGAUGGAGCUCAAAGAGAUAAUGUAUUUGGCUCAAAUGAUAGGGUAUAUCACAUGAAGUGAAUCAAGGUAGAAUAUGAAUGCAUCAUGGAGAUGAAUGGAAUGAAUGAUCAAAGUCACAAAAUUGAAGGAUUUGGUAACAGGUGACUGAAGAGGUAUAAUUUAAAACCAAAGGUAAAGGUAUACAUUAGAAUCCAUAGGAGAAAUGUAAUUUGUACCAUAGAGGGAAAUAGUCUUAUUGGCCGAAAAAGAAUGAAUUAAAUGUUUGGUUUGACAGCACAAACAACUCUUGGUACAAACACAGACUUUUCAUUAGGCGUCCUAAAAGGGUAUAUAUGGAAUUCCAAAGAAAACUGAAUUUCGGUUUCAAAGAAACAAUAUGUCACUAGGUGAACGGUUUAAUGAUUGAAGGUAUAUAAUGGUUUAUGAAAGAUAUCAAUGGUGCCCAAAGGCGGAAGAAGGAAUAAUUAGAAAUAUGCUCACCAAAGAUUCGCAUCCUCGUGCCUACGUAUUCUCAUCAUACAAUGAGAAAGUCAGAGCAUUCGUAGUUCGUGGAACCAUGAGAACAAAACAAGAGAUAGGUGAUAAAAAGUAUAAUUUGCACCAACAGAAUGGUAUCAAGGGAACCCACAAGGGAGAGUAAAAUUUGAACCAAAGAGUAAACAAGCGUCUUAGUCAAAAAGAAUAAAUUAAAUGUUUGGGUAUGAGCCAAACAACUCUUGAUUCACAAGGUGGACUGCCGUUAUAUCGUCUUAAAAUGGUAUAUGCGGAGCCCAAAAGAAAGUAUUGUUAACUACAAGGACAAUAUAUCAAUAGUUGGGGAACAAACAGUCUGAUAUCAAAGAAGAAUGGUAUUUUGGAUCCAUGAAGGAAAUAGACUUUGAAUCGAAGAGUAAACUGACGACUUAGCCGAAAAAGCAUGAAUUAAAUGUCUGGGUACGAGCCAAACAACUCUUGGUUUACAAGGUGAGUUGUUGUUAUAUCGUCCUAAAAUGGUAUAUACGGGGCCUAAAAGAAAGUAUAUUUGAUCUCAAAAGAUGGUAUUGAUUGAAUGAAUGAAGAAUGAAGGAUUUAUAAAUAAGGUAGCUCGCGAAGAACCUGAAUUCUCCUGCCUACGUAUUCUCACUGUGCAAUGAGAAAAUCAGAGCUUUCGUAGUUCAACCUAAUACGGCUGAAACAAAAGGAAAACAUAUUGAUUUCCAGGGUACAUAACCUUUCAAGGCUGAAAAAGGAGUGCCAAGAUUCAUAACCUUCUAGGCAAGGUAUCACUACCAGAGUUUAUAAUUCUGAAGGCAAGGAACUAAACUGCCAAGGUUUACCAUCUCUCUAGGCAAAGAGAACUGAACUUCUAAGGUUUACCACCUCUCAAGGCAAGAAACUGAAUUUAAUUACCAAGGUUUAUCACCUCUCAAGGAAAAAAAUUGAAUUAGACUGUCAAGGUUUACCACCUCACGAGGCAAAAAAAUAAGUGCCAAGGUUUAUCACCUUACAGGGUAAAGAGAAAUAAAUUCCAGAGUCCAUAACUCUCAAGGCAAAGAAUUGAAUUGCCAAAGUUUACCACCUCACAAGAAAAAGAACUGAACUGCCGAGGUUUACCACCUCUUAAGGAAAAGGAUAAAAUUUCCAAGGUUUACCAUCUUACAAGGAAAGGAGCUACCAAGGUUUACCACCUCUCAAGGUAAAUAAUUGAACAGGACUGACAAGGUUUACCACCUCACAAGGCAAAUAAUAAGUGCCAAGGUUUAUCACCUUACAGGGAAAAGAGAAACAAAUGCCAGAGUCCAUAACUCUCUGAGCAAAGAAUUGAAUUGCCAAGGUUUACCACCUCACAAGGCAAAGAACUGACCUGCCAAGGUUUACUACCUCUCAAGGAAAAGGAUAACAUUGCCAAGGUUUACCAUCUUACAAGGCAAGGAGCUACCAAGGUUUACCACCUCUCAAGGCAAGGAACAAGUGCCAAGGUUUACCACCUUACAAGGCAAUGAGUUGAAUGAAAUAGGGUGUACAACCAUAAGUUGCUAAUAGAAACAAUGCUCCAUUAUUGAAGUGUUGCAUGCUUGAUAUGUCUGCUUGAAGAAGACUUGUCAAUUGUGUGAUUCAAAUUGUACUAAAGUCUUUGAACAAAGGCGAAUACCUUAAGAAACUGGGUCAAGCAUCCCAUACCCAAGGAUAUCCAGAAUGAGUUAAUGGAAUUCUCCACUCUCAUCCAUUCUUUGUUUCUUAAGGCUCAUAGCGUGCAACUCGAAUCAAAAUUGACAAGUUGUUGAUACAAAGUCAUGCAUGUUGAUCUUGUUGAUGCGAUGCUACUUGUUGAAGAAAGAGACUUGGCAAUCACAUAACUCACAUUGUGCUAAAGUCUAUGAGUAAAGGUGAAUACGUUGAGCAACUGGGUCAUGUGUCCCGUACCCAAAGAUAUUCAGAAUGAGUUAAUGGAAUUCUCCAAUCUCAUUCCUUCUCUAUUUCUUAAGGCUCGUGCCACACACUUUGAGUUGUGAUCGUCAAGUGUUGAUACCUUUGUUAUGAUUGAGAAGUAGUCCACUUUGCUAGCUAUGCUUGAUUAAUGUUGACUUGAAGUCUUGAUCUUACAUUUGAACAUUGAGGUCUUAAGCUCCUGAGAUUCAGCAUAUCCACAAUAGCUUGAGCACAAUGAACUUGCCUUAUCAAGUGAUCAAGGGUCUUUUGAUCACUUGAAUAGGCUUGGGGCUUACAACACAAUACAAAGGAUUUAGUUGACCAAAGCGGCCUUUGGUAAACACUAACCAAUGGGGUUGAAAAUAUUAGUUGAACUAAGUACAAUAGUAAACAUAUUGAAUUAACCAAGUAAAUAAAAUCAGACAAAUCUGAUUAAGGCCCUAAACUAAGGGAACAUGCAUUAAAAUCAAGAUUUUGAGCCCUAAGGGAAAAAUGGCCAUUAUUCUAAAAAUGAAUUAAUUAGGAGAAGUUUCUACUAAUCAUCAUUUAAUUAAAACUAAACUAGGCUUAAUUAUCUAAUUUUUCUAUCUCAAGUUUCUAAUUAAAUUGCAUAUCCUAAUAACAAAACCUUAAGACAAUUUAAUUAGAAUUUCCUAAUUUCUAGAAUUCUAAUUAACAUUUAUUCUAUAUAAAAAAAUUAAAAUUCCUAAAAUUCUAGUUAAAUCAACCUAAAAUCUAAUUUAAUCAAGUCAAAUUAAUUUACUGAGAUCAACUCUUAAUAAAAAUUAGACACCUGGGAAGCAAAUGGCUCAACCAGAAUUGCCUAGCCACCAAGUCCAGUUGGUAAGAGGCCACCCUUAAACUAGAUAAUGGUGGGGUUGAAGCAAGAAAAUAGAUCUCUCUCUAUCUCGUCUUAUUUUUGUUGAGACCAAUUGGGAUAAGGUUUCUUGAACUAGUCAGAACCGUACUACUGAUUGGAAAAGAGGGCCAUCGACUCGGUGAAGGUCUUACACCUAUGGAACAUUUGGAAGUAAUCUUCGAAGAUCUCUAGAGAGACCUCAUUCCCAUCUUCCGGAGUGAGCUUGGCUAGUCGGGGCGCUUCGAUUCCCGCCGUCGAGUUAGGAGGAACUCUGGCCUUUAUGGAGGAUUCAAAAGUGGCUUUCAUCCACAGCUGCAACAGCCAAAUAGGUAUGCCUAUUUGUAGGCUGUUGGGAUUCUUUGGUCUUACCAUAUCAACAACAACCAAGUCUAGGGACUCUUAAAGUCCCAUGAGUAUUAGUCGGUCCAUAUAAAUUUUCCUGCCCUCAAAGAGCUGGGUUGCACGGGGCACGUAUUUUUUAUCCACCUGAACAGACCGGGCGCAAAACACAUACAUUGAUAACCACUAAGUAAGAAAAGAAAUGUAGUCAUGCACAUAAAUUUCAUCGGUUUUCUUACGAUGAACCUCUAUGAAAGAGCUGUAAGACGACCAAAAGAAGGAGAAGACGGGAUUAGUCCUUGUAACCUUUGCAGGAUUGAAGUCCAACCUAGCAUACCGAACACCAGCUAUAGCGGCUAGGUCGAAGAAAGUGAGAGUUAUCAUCCCACAUGGUAGUUAAAAAGUGUUUGUGGAUGUAUCCUAGAAACACAUGGAUGCAAUCAACAUAUGAGUAUUAUAAGGGAGAGUCACCCUAGGUAGUUAGAUAAGAUCAUAAAUUCCUAAAUCUUUCUAGUAAUGUGCUCUUUUUCUCUCAAUCCUAUCUAUCACUUAAUGUACUCAACACCCUCCGAUGGAGGAAAGGGACUAAAAAAAUCCAAUUUUUGAAGAAGUUAAACUUGAAUGGUUUAUCAAUGAAAACCAGUGGUUCAUACCCAAGAUAUAUGGGGAAGUAAUAUUAAAACCGUUGAGGAUUUUUAAUAUAUUUGGUUAAAGGGCCCAUAAACACAUGAACCUUACAAGCAAACACGUAAGGAAUGAAGGCAGAGCAAUACCAGACUUUUCUACAUUCUGUUUCCAAGGGAGGUUCUGGUACGUAGACGCGGUCAUGAACAAAGAUGAGAAACUCAAUAUCAGCUACGAAGCCCGCAUGGUGUUGUUCAGGAAGCGCCAUUGAAGGAUACAAGUGUCCUGAGUAAGAGUGUGAGGAAGAAGAGAUAUCUAGGGGUUUUGGUUUUCUGUGAGGCAAGUUGCAGAAACAGGAAAGAAGAAAGUAUUGAGCAAACACGUUUAAAUAUCAGAUGAAGGAAUGGUUGGGUGUCUUUUGGUUAGAGAAAAGAUCGGCCACGUGGUGGUUAACUUGACAAAUGGCAUAUAAAAACCAUGGGGAAAGAAAAAUGGAAGUUAGAGCAAUUGUAAAUGAUUCCGUUCCAUUUAAUUCUCUUAGGGAAUAUAAGGUAAUCAUAGAGAAUCGACACGCAUGCCUUUGACAUGGAUAUUGGUAGAAACGUUAGUCAUGACAACUUGCAACACGCAUGACUGGAGUGGCAUGACAUAGAAUAUGAAUAGUAACACAGUGGUUACAAACAAUGCCAGCUUUCUCCCCUCAGAUAUGGGUCAAUAGUGAAAUUUUUAUGGGGGCAUCUGUUACGCUUGGAUUCUUCAGCUAGUAGAAAGUCAACAAAGAAUGUCAAUGAGAAUACAUUUACUACGAGAAAGCAUUAAUGAAAUAUCUUAAAGAAUAUUAAUGAUAAAGCAUUGACAGACAAAUGAUAAGGGGUCAACCGAGCCAUCAAAACAAGGAUACAUGGUUUGGAGGACUCUCAGGGAUAAAUCCCUAAGGUCGGGAUCAUUGGAAAACAUGUCCAAAAUCUCGAGAAAGACAUUUGACACAAGCCUUUAUUCCAUCAAGAUGACCAAUCGAUAAAACCACGUAAGAGAAAGGACUUAGUAAAUUUACAAGCCUUAAGUCCUUGAUAGGAAGCGUCUACAUCACGAUUAGAGCAGUUACCAUCGAGGGUUCGUGAAGAAGUGGGAAAACGUUACAACUCAAAUGUGGGUUAUAAACAAAAAGUGUCAGGGAUGACACAUAAGCACACUUGUGGGAACUUAAAGAUUGAACAUGGAGUAAACACAGUAAUCCCUUAGUGGUCAUAACUGUCAUCGAUGAAUAUUUUCUAAAUAGAAUAAAUAGCACACUCACACAUGGGAUCAGAGGUUGCAAAAUUUCAUACAUACUCUCCAUACCACUGGAGUACCCAAGUCAAAGAGAAAAAUAGUUGAGCGUGAAAUAUGUAUGCGUGUGUGUCUAGUCUUUUUCAUUAGUCUUUUGUUUCCUUAAAUGAAACAUGUACUUUUACUUUUGCUUUGCUUAAUAUCAUUUAUUGCAUUUUACCUUAUCAUUUAUCACAACUUGACUUCAUUUAAAGUCUUUUUCUACGUUGUUAUCGUUCACGCAACGACUACAUUCAAUUCACACGCAUAUGUGUUUACACAAAUCAUUUGCACAAAUUGCUUUGGAGAUUUUUUGAGUUAGUCUCAAAGAAUUUCAAACUCGUGAUUGUUUACAAAAAAUACUGGUAAGCAUCCUGGUACUACGUCUACGAGGCUUUGCUUUUGAGGAGAUAAGCCUACUCUAGUGGGGCACUUUGGCUCUGAUAUGGCUGGAGACAUUGAUUCCAGAAAGUCCACUUCAGGCUACAUGACUAAUUUUGUAAGGAGUUGUGGCUUGGAAUUGUAGAUUGCAAAAGUGUGUAGCAUUGUCUACUAUGAAGGAUGAGUUCAUUGCCAUUACCAAAGCAUGCAAAUAGUUACUAUGGUUGAAGAAAUUUUUGUAGGAGCUUGGUUUUAUUCAAGACAAAUAUGUGUUAUUUGUUGAUAGUCAAAGUGUUAUUCAUCUUGAUAAGAAUCGGACUUUUCAUAAUAGGUCAAAACACAUUGAUGUGAGCUAUCAUUAGAUACGUGAUGUUUUGGAUGCUAAGUUGUUGGAUUAGAUAAAGUUCAUACAAAUGAUAAUGAUUCAGACAUGAGGACUAAAGCAUUACCAAGAAGGAAAUUCGAAUCCUAUUGUGAUAUCGUCGAUUUGGCGAUUUCCUCUAAAUAGUUGUGAGGGGAAAUUUGUUGGGUUUGAACUUCCUUCCUAUGUGGAGAAAGAACCAAAUAUGUUAAUCCAUUUGUUUCACUUAUUCAAGUGGAAAAUGUAAAUUUAGAGUUGGAAGAGAUAGAGAGAAAAGAAGACUUCAAAAGAGAGAGAAAAGGAGAGAGCCUUAUUCCCAUGUUCUGCAACCAAUCUCACUAAACCAUCCAUUUUAGAUUUGUUAACGGUUGGAUCAACCUCGAAUUCAGAGGGUAGUUUCAUAACAUCUGUAUCUACAUUAAGAUCGUUCGAAUCUUUAAAAUGAGAUCCGAGUUGAGAGAUAUCUACUUCACACUGAAGCUGCAAAUUUGAGUAAUUUUUCAGCUUCUUUAUUCUUACUUGUAAGCUACUUUGCUUUGUGAUUUGCGGUUGUUAGCAUUAGUUUGUGAAUCACUCUAAGACUCUCUUGUACCAUUAUUUGAUUAUAGUUGAGCUAUUUAUUUGAUUUGAACGACUCGUGAUUUUUACAAUCAUAUUGAAGGGUUUUACACUUCAAAAUAUUGGUGUUCUCUAGUGCCUUUAUUUGUUCUAUUUACUGUCAUGUAUUUGUUGUUGAUCCUCAGAAGUUUGAGGAAUUUUAUAUCCACUACGUAUUGAUGUGUUAUUUUGUGUUAAUUUCUCAUCAACAUGAAUUUAUUGAUUUGUUAUUUUGUGUUAAUUUCCCAUCAACAUGAACUUAAUGCACAUGUUUCCGAAAUUACAAACUCUCACACAACUUAUGUAAGUCUAACUCUGAGUUAUACCAAAUUACAGUUCAUUACACACUUGCAAAUUUUUCCACUCUGACUUCACUGAAUUGACUGUUGAUGUAUUAACUUUGGAGAUAUAACCUCUCAGUGUUCAUCGGAGAUCUUCACCACCAAACCUCUUACGGUGGUCUUCAACAACUUACUACAAUUUUUUUCCAGACAAUAAUAACUUGAAUGAAUUUGCAGCACUUAUGUUCUAGCAAGAACACUUGUUAAAGUGACUAUGAACAAUCUUGAGUUGCAUCAGGAAAAAAGUAUCCACAUUUUAUUGUUUGGCUGCCUCAAAUAAAAUUAAUUGAAAAACUGAAGAAGAAAAAUUGCAAUGAGUCUCACAAGUUCAAUUGUGAUUGAGUUGAUUUUUAAAAAUUGAUUUUAAUUCAAAGUUAAAUUAUGGUAAAAUUGAUUAAGUUUUAAAAUAAAUCAAUUCUAAUAAAAAAAUUGAACAUGAAAAUUUCUUCAGUCAUUUUUUUAAUUAUUCUAUAUUUAAAUAAAAAAUUAAAAAACGAUUUAUUUUAAAUUUUUAAAUUAUUUAAAUAAUAAAUUAUUAUAUAUUUAAUUUAAAAACGAAAAUGAAAAUAUUAAAUGGAGAAUUAUGAAAAUCGCUAGAAAAAAUAUAUUUAUAUGAACUUUUUAAAAUUUAUUUAUUUAUUUUUAAUUAUAUUUUUAUAAUUAAAUAAUAUUGUCGCAUCUCAAAAAAAUGCGAUUCCUCGCGAUGGUCGCGGAAAAAUUAGUUCGAACAGAGUCGCCACCAAACUUUAUUUAUCCCAAUGAAGGAAUAGGAAAAUAUCGAUAAACAUGUUUGAAAAUAGAAUAGGUCGUCGCAACCAUUCGGGUUCGGGAGUCGAUUACGCAAAGGGAAGGUAUUAGCACCUCACGUCCGUUGUACUCAACGGGAACCUUUUAGUCUAAUUUGCUAUUUGAAUGUUAGUUAAAUGUUAUUUGCUUUCUUUGAGUAAUUAGAAUGAUGAUAGAUAUUGGAUGAAGACCUCAGGAGGGGAAAUGGGAGGUUUUUUAUUAGUGUGCUCGCCAAGAUCUCGCAAUCUCGUGCCUACGUAUUCCUUAUGGUGUAUAAGGAAAUCAGAGCAUUCGUAGUUCGGGCUACUACGAAUAAUUUGUGGGUUUUGUUUGAUGAACGACUGUGUAGGUCGGCGUUCUAACGGCUAAACGCUGGCUUGUCUACUCUCGGGGGAGGCUCUAGCACUGGUUUGUUGUGCGCAUUAGAAAGGAUUGACAGUGUUCUUUUGAUGAGGUUUAGUCACGCGGGGGUGACAGGUGAUUGAUGUGUUUGGGUGUUUGAUGGUUUCGAUCGCUCGGGGCGAGAAAUUAGUUUGAUUUGUUUGAUGAUGUGUUUUGGAGAACAACGAAAGGUUGAGCAAUGUGGCGUAUGCCAAUCGUCCAAUUCUUUCGAGAAUAAUAAGGCGUACGCCUUCUAUUCCUUUUUCGUUUGAAUUAUUUUGAAAGUUUGGGUUUGUGGAUGUGAAUAUGCACGGUAGUGAGGCGUACGCCUCCUACUUGCUAUUCAAGGAAUAACGAGGCGUACGCCACCUAUUCCCUUAUCCAAGUUUAUUUAGCGUUUUUAGUCGGAAGUCGAUAAUUGUGCAAUAUGGCGUACGCCAAUUAUCCAAAUAAUCGAGAGAUGGUGAGGCGUACGCCUCCCCUUUUUAUCAUCGAGGUUUAAAUUGUAAAAGCUAUGUUUGGAUAUUGUAUUUGAUUCGCGAGAAAAGUUUGAUUUGAAUUGAUAGGGUUGAUUUGAUGACGAAGAUUCGAGCAAUGUGGCGUACGCCAAUUAUCGAAUAAAUCGAAAGAUAGUGAGGCGUACGCCUCCUAUCCUCUUUUCAUCUGAAUAUAGAAUUAAAUGACUUGUAGAAUUUGUAGUUAUGUUUUUGAAAUAUUAUGAUUUGAAGUGUUGUGGUUUGAAUAAGGUUUUUUAAUUUGAUGACGAAGAUUCGAGCAAUGUGGCGUACGCCAAUUAUUCGAAUAAUCGAAAGAUAGUGAGGCGUACGCCUCCUAUCCUCUUUUCAUCUAAAAUAUGGAAUAAAAAGGAUUUGGAAUUUAUAGAAAUGAUUUGAAAUAUUGUGGUUUGAAAAUAAUUUGAAUUUAGAAAUUAUAUUUGAUUUGAAGAAAGUGAUUAGAAAUUAUACGAUUAAGGUUUAAUCGGGUGACAAGAACUCGCGCAAUAUGGCGUACGCCAAUUGUUCAAGUGCUUGAGAAAUAGUGAAGCGUACGCUUCCUAUCUCCUUUUCAUCCCAAAUUUAUGUUUAAGAGAAAAAUUGUUUAGAAAUUAUAUUUGAUUUGAAAAAUGAUUUGAAUUAUCUGAAUUUGGAAAUCAUAUUUAAUUUUGAAAAGUGAUUUGAAAUUGUGAGUUUAAGAUUUAAACGGGUGACAAGAACUCGCGCAAUAUGGCGUACGCCAAUUAUUCGAGUAAUUGAGAAAUAGUAAGGCGUACGCCUUCUAUCUCCUUUUCAUCCCAAAUUUAUAUGAAAAUAAUAUUUAUUUUAUUUUACUAUUAUAAAAUAUAUAAUUAUUUGUGACAUAUAGAAUAUUUGUUUGACUAAAAAAAACUUCACUUCAUUUAAUCAUCAUCCAAAGAAUAUAAUUAUUUAUGAUAUAUGGGAUGCUUAUUUUACUAAGGAAAAUUGUGAAAUUUAUAGUAGCAUUAGAUAUGAAAUCAGGAUAAUUGAAGCACUAAUUACGUGGGAACUGAAUUACAACCACUACGUUCUAAUUUUCACCAUGCACCAAAGUUAUAUCUACAAACCACUUAUAAAAUGAGGCUGAAAUUACUGAAGCAUCUUAAACACAUGGUAGUAGCAAAAACGAAGUGUAGAAGCGAGAACAACACGCCAUUAAGAGCCUUAUUAAACCAAUACCUCAUGCCAGCAUUUUACCAAAGUACACACCAUUAUUAAACAAAUAAGUUCAACUAAUCAAUAAACCAAUUCUGAAAAAUAAUUAGCAAAUUUCUACUAAUUAACCAAUCAAGGUAACAACGUUACUGCAAUGUAUAAUAAGUUUAAACUUUAAUUCUGAAGCUCUCAUUUAAUACAUACAACUUCUCCUAGUGUUUUACCCAAAGAUGUCAACAAACAAAACAAUUGAUAACAGUAUGAAAUCAAAUCCUCAAUUAAUCUUGUAAUAAACACGACAACUUCAACACAUAACGACAACAGCACAAUCGCAUUGGGAAUAUCCUAGAAAAGAGCAUUACAACAUUCUAAUACCAACAACCAACAUGGACUAAUGCAACCGAGUUUGAAUCAAAACAGUGGCUGUAGCAAACAGCAUAAUAUCAAGAAGAAACACGACACGGACUGUUACCGUAACUAUAAACAAAUUUAAUCCUGCAGCAAGAAAAUGAUAUCGUUAACAUGUACCAAAUCCCUCGUAAAUAAUGCCAAACUGCUUCGAUACAACUCAAUAUGAAGUUCAAUAUUUCUAUGAAAUCACCAUGAUGCAAUUAGCAAGACUUAAAGAGAAUAAUAGUAACACAAAUACUGGAUAUAACAAUGAACAAAAUCCUUUCCCAAAAUUAAAUGUAAACAGCAUAAACUUAAAUUUAACGCCUUGACAGAAAUAUUACCCAAAUCGACCAAGCUAUCACUUUCUGUCCGCUGCUCUGAGUCUGUUGGGGCGUAUCGUCCUUCCUUCGCUGUUUGGGACGUCCCUUCGAAACUGAGUUUCUACCCGUGGCCUUCAAGUGCAAUUCACAACAGCUCAUAUGUUUCUCCCACUUGUACAGGUUCAAUAGCCUUCCUGGAAAUUGCUUUAAGGUUCAUUGAAAACUAAAAACAAGGUAUAAACCAAACAGAACUGCAACUCAAACGCGACGGUGACGAUGUAACGUUCGUCGGAAAGGUUUUUUUUGUGAAUUUCGAAAGGGACGAAAUGAAGUGAGGAUUUGGGGGUUUUGCAAGGCGGAGGUUAAUCGGUGUAUUUCGGCGGAUGAAAUGGGGAAGACGAUUGAUGGUUUAGAUGUUACGGCGUGGAGGUUGUAUGGUGUUCGUUGGGGUUUNNN